CCUACGGGGUGCAGCAGUGAGGAAUAUUGGUCAACGGACGAGAGUCUGAACCAGCCAAGUAGCGUGAAGGAUGACUGCCCUAUGGGUUGUAAACUUCUUUUAUAUGGGAAUAAAACGUUCCACGUGUGGGAUUUUGUAUGUACCAUAUGAAUAAGGAUCGGCUAACUCCGUGCCAGCAGCCGCGGUAAUACGGAGGAUCCGAGCGUUAUCCGGAUUUAUUGGGUUUAAAGGGAGCGUAGGUGGAUUGUUAAGUCAGUUGUGAAAGUUUGCGGCUCAACCGUAAAAUUGCAGUUGAAACUGGCAGUCUUGAGUACAGUAGAGGUGGGCGGAAUUCGUGGUGUAGCGGUGAAAUGCUUAGAUAUCACGAAGAACUCCGAUUGCGAAGGCAGUUCACUGGACUGCAACUGACACUGAGGCUCGAAAGUGUGGGUAUCAAACAGGAUUAGAUACCCUAGUAGUC
rnacentral:rRNA from 1 species